AUGCUCGACUUGCUGCGGCGAAAUCAAGUGAGCGUGGGUCUCGAUGGCACCGGCCGUCACGAUCAUGCCUUCGGCCGGGAUCGGUGUGGUGCUGGUGCCCACGACCAUUCCCGGCGUGACGCCGGGCAUGGUAUCCGGGUUCCCCGCCUUGCCGAUCCCGACGAUCCGGCCAUCACGGAUCCCGAUGUCGGCCUUGAUGAUUCCCGCUACCGCAUCGACGAUGACAGCGUUGCUGAUGACGUAGUCGAGGGCAUCGUCGCUCGGCUUCGACGACGGGCGGUAUCCCUCGCCGU
rnacentral:sRNA from 5 species